UUAAGAGACAUGUUGGCCUCCAAUGGUUCUGCAACCUUAAUGGGUCUUUGAUUCCAUGAUGCUCAUAAAUGAGGUUUGGGAAUAAGAGUUUGGAGAAGUGGCUCCUAUAGGAGCAGGAGACAGGUCUGUUUCCUCCAUGGAAACCUCCUGACAGCUCCCUGUCACUCUGCAGAGUCUGAGUGUGCCGGGUUCUGGUGUCAACAAUGGAGUCACCACUGCUCAGGGGGUGCAGGCUGCACAAGCCUACAUUUUCCCCAGGUUUCAGCUUGCUGUGUCUGAGGCUUUUUCCACCCAGCAUAUAAAGGGUGCAGAGAAACACAGGGUCAGAACAGGUAUGGAAUGGGUUCUUGCUGCUUUGACACACAUGGGGUGAUCACACAUGUGUGACCACACAACCUCACAGGCUGCUCCCAAGAGCUCCCUCCUUUCCCAGGGGAACAAGAACAUCCUGGAAAGUUUUCCCUCCCUGUGCUGCCAUACCAGAGGUCAGGCACGAGGAAGCAAGAGCCAGGGCCAAAGCCACCUGCCAGUGUACUCACCCUAUACCCAGCCAACUCUCUAAGGAUGAGGGAAGCAGGUGGGCAGGAGUUAGCUCCUUCAGCCAGGUCUGACAUCACACUUCUGGCUUCUGAGAACUGCCAGAGAGCACUGCAGGAGGUCUGGCAGCUGUCUGCAGAAUGGGAACAUGGGAAUUCCCUCUGGAGAGAACAGAAGGUGGAAUGGGCGGCAUGGGAAGCCUGGGCUGCUGGGGAGGACCAAGAGAUGCUGCAGGUAUUCGGCGUUGGAGGUGCUUGGGCUCCCCACCGUCCAUCCCAGCCCCCAAGAAAGGGGGUCACUAUGAGGUGGGGAAGGGCUGGAACCCCCCUCCCCACAGAGAAAAUGGCAGAGAGAUUCCAGCCUGGUACCAGGUGGGUGGAUGUGGGACUGUGUGGGCGCAGGGUGGGGCAAGGGGAGAGGCAGCUGGCAGCUCCCCAAGGGAUGACGAUUCCCUCUUGUUGCAGACACCUUUCCUCACGAGCCAUCCAGGUGCUCCGUGGGCUGGAGCCACAUCAGACACAGAGGAACAUCUUCAUGUUUUUGGCUGAGAACAACCGGCGGCGGCAGGAGCAGCAGAGGCAGUUCUGCAGGUAACUCCAAAGGGAUGGAAUUCCCCACAUCCCUCCACUGAGGCAGCCCCGGGGGACAGAAGCGGGACCAGGAGGCUGCCUUUGGGCUGGACUCCCGGAUACACCCAGCAUCGGCUUCCCAUGUGGGACAGAAAAGUCCUGGCUGAAGACAGAGGGACCUUGAUGGCAGGCCAUCCCCUUCCCAAACCUGAGAGCAU
rnacentral:lncRNA from 1 species